GCCCGGUUGGCUCAGUCGGUAGAGCGUGUGACUCUUAGAAUGACCUUGGUCAUCUGCGGAAUCUCAAGGUCGCGAGUUCGAGCCUCGCAUUGGGCU